AAAUGCCAUGUGGUAUCUGAUGCUUGGUCUUCUGUGGCCUCGCGUCUCGUAAGAGUGGCAGACAUAAAAGGGACGGGUUCUUUGCGACACUGGCUGCUCUUUUACCAUGAGCUUCCUGUUACUAUUCCCCCGUAACAAAU